rnacentral:tRNA from 1 species
GCGCUCGUAGCUCAGUUGGAUAGAGCAACGGCCUUCUAAGCCGUGGGUCGCAGGUUCGAAUCCUGCCGGGCGUGCCA